rnacentral:rRNA from 1 species
UGGGAAUUUGGACGAAUUGGGCGAAAGCCUGAUCCAGCAAUGCCGCGUGUGUGAAGAAGGCCUUCGGGUUGUAAAGCACUUUUGUCCGGAAAGAAAUCCUUGGCUCUAAUACAGUCGGGGGAUGACGGUACCGGAAGAAUAAGCACCGGCUAACUACGUGCCAGCAGCCGCGGUAAUACGUAGGGUGCAAGCGUUAAUCGGAAUUACUGGGCGUAAAGCGUGCGCAGGCGGUUUGCUAAGACCGAUGUGAAAUCCCCGGGCUCAACCUGGGAACUGCAUUGGUGACUGGCAGGGCUAGAGUAUGGCAGAGGGGGGUAGAAUUCCACGUGUAGCAGUGAAAUGCGUAGAGAUGUGGAGGAAUACCGAUGGCGAAGGCAGCCCCCUGGG